GCUCCUGGCUCAGGAUGAACGCUAGCUACAGGCUUAACACAUGCAAGUCGAGGGGCAGCAUGGUCUUAGCUUGCUAAGGCUGAUGGCGACCGGCGCACGGGUGAGUAACACGUAUCCAACCUGCCGUCUACUCUUGGCCAGCCUUCUGAAAGGAAGAUUAAUCUAGGAUGGGAUCAUGAGUUCACAUGUCCGCAUGAUUAAAGGUAUUUUCCGGUAGACGAUGGGG
rnacentral:rRNA from 1 species